CGGACGGGUGAGUAAUGCAUAGGAAUCUACCCAGUAGUGGGGGACAACUCGGGGAAACUCGAGCUAAUACCGCAUACGACCUACGGGUGAAAGUGGGGGAUCUUCGGACCUCACGCUAUUGGAUGAGCCUAUGUCAGAUUAGCUAGUUGGUGGGGUAAUGGCCUACCAAGGCGACGAUCUGUAGCUGGUUUGAGAGGAUGAUCAGCCACACUGGGACUGAGACACGGCCCAG
rnacentral:rRNA from 1 species